CACAGGUUUGGUCCCAGCCUUCCUAUUAACCCUUAACAGACUUACACAUGCAAGCAUCUACAUCCCAGUGAAAAUGCCCUCCAGGUCAAUAGGACCAAGAGGAGCUGGUAUCAAGCACACACCUGUAGCUCAUGACACCUUGCUUAGCCACACCCCCACGGGAGACAGCAGUGAUAAAAAUUAAGCUAUAAACGAAAGUUUGACUAAGCCAUGUUAAUCAGGGUUGGUAAAUUUCGUGCCAGCCACCGCGGUCAUACGAUUAACCCAAGUUAAUAGGCCUACGGCGUAAAGCGUGUUUAAACACUACACCAAAUAAAGUUAAAUUUUAAUUAAGCUGUAAAAAGCCAUAAUCACAAUGAAAAUAAAUAACGAAAGUAACUUUACAACCGCUGAAACACGAUAGCUAAGAUCCAAACUGGGAUUAGAUACCCCACUAUGCUUAGCCCUAAACACAAGUAGUUAUAUAAACAAAACUAUUCGCCAGAGUACUACCGGCAAUAGCUUAAAACUCAAAGGACUUGGCGGUGCUUUAUACCCUUCUAGAGGAGCCUGUUCUAUAAUCGAUAAACCCCGAUAAACCUCACCACCCCUUGCUAAUACAGUCUAUAUACCGCCAUCUUCAGCAAACCCUAAAAAGGAACAAAAGUAAGCACAAUCAUCAUACGUAAAAACGUUAGGUCAAGGUGUAACCUAUGGAGUGGAAAGAAAUGGGCUACAUUUUCUAACUUAAGAAAACCCCCUACGAAAGUUAUUAUGAAAUUAGUAACCAAAGGAGGAUUUAGCAGUAAACUAAGAAUAGAGUGCUUAGUUGAAUUAGGCCAUGAAGCACGCACACACCGCCCGUCACCCUCCUCAAGUAAGCACAAUACACUUAAACUUAUUACUAUGUAUUAAUAUAUAUGAGAGGAGAUAAGUCGUAACAAGGUAAGCAUACUGGAAAGUGUGCUUGGAUAAAU
rnacentral:ncRNA from 1 species